rnacentral:lncRNA from 1 species
AUGCAUAGCUUUUCACCUUUGGCACAGAGGAGAAAGCUCUGGAAGAUGUUCCACAGCACUGCACCAGCACUGUGCAGGAAACAUCUAAGGAGCUCGCUGGCACACUCAGUGUCUUGUUGGGCAGCCUUUCCUACCGCUUCUUUACGACCACAGAAAGCUGCUGUCCUGUGGAAUGGCUGGCUGGUUCUUCAGGCCUCUGCUGAUGUGGUGCUGGAAAAGGGGUCCUUCUUCAUUAGCAGCCAUGGCAGGAAGAACUGGAUGCACACCAGGUGAUCUACUACAAGGAUGCUCUCAAGUACUUGCUCUCAAUACUAUGAUGAAGGUCCCAACAUCUUCUUUAGAAAUGCUACACUUGAUAACAGUGGCACCUAUGACUGCUCAGACAGUCUUCAUUGGUUGUACAUUUACUCUGAGAAACUAAGAAUUACUGUAAUAAAUGGUGAGUUGAUAAAGAAAUACA